UACGUAGGGGGCAAGCGUUGUCCGGAUUUAUUGGGCGUAAAGGGCGUGUAGGCGGGAAGGAAAGUCAGAUGUGAAAUCCCUGGGCUCAACCCAGGAACUGCAUUUGAAACUCCCUUUCUUGAGUGUCGGAGAGGAAAGCGGAAUUCCUGGUGUAGAGGUGAAAUUCGUAGAUAUCAGGAGGAACACCGGUGGCGAAGGCGGCUUUCUGGACGACAACUGACGCUGAGACGCGAAAGCGUGGGGAGCAAACAGG
rnacentral:rRNA from 1 species